rnacentral:rRNA from 1 species
GACGAACGCUGGCGGCGUGCCUAAUACAUGCAAGUCGAACGAGUGGCGGACGGGUGAGUGACACGUGGGAACCUACGCCUCAAAGGGGGAGAACACUUGGAAACAGGUGCUAAUACCGCAUACUGAUGGAUGGACCCGGGGUGCAUGAGCUAUUAGGUGGGGUAAAGGCUCACCUAGGCGACGAGCUCUAGCUGGUCGGAGAGGAGGAUCAGCCACACUGGGACUGAGACACGGCCCAGACUCCUACGGGAGGCAGCAGUGGGGAAGAUUGCACAAUGGGCGAAAGCCUGAUGCAGCCAGUCCGCGUGGAUGAAGAAGGCCUUAGGGUUGUAAAGUACGUUCAGCGGGGAGGCGUUACCCGCAGAAGAAGCACCGGCUAACUCCGUGCCAGCCGCCGCGGUAAUAC